CUUGCUUUGUAUAUUUGCAAUUAAGAUCUAGAACACAUAAACAUAUCCCCAAAGGACAGAAAUCUGUAACUAACUAAUCAUAGCAAACGUUGAACCAAAGUUUUGAUCAAAAAUCAUACCUUACUGCUGCAUAAAUGGUGCAGGCAGAAAUGUUCUCUGCAUAUUGAAAAAUGUCGAUUCUUUGAGAGAUGAGGUCUUAAGAUACAGGAUUGAGUACUUAUUGAUAGGUAUGUUUUUUUUUGAGGCCAACUUUAAUCUAUUGAAAUGUGUGGUUGUGUUGUUUAUGAGAACAUAUUUGAAAAUAAUAUGAGGAUAUGUUGAGAUAUAACGGCUGUAUGCAGCAAGCAUUACGCUUAUAAAGAAAACUCUAUUAACAGUCAUGUUUCUCAUCGAAGAUAGAUGAGAUUUGUGUUACACCAUAUACGCAGACUGCGCUCUUUCAUCGGAUUCUUUGCUUCAAUUCAUUGCGUUUAAGUUAAGGAAAGGAAACAAGUGCAUUGAUCCGAUUGGCUGCAAACUUCAGCAUUUGUGCAUAGACGUACAUCAAGACGACUAAACAAACUUUGGUAGAGACUUGAGAAAGUUUUUUAACCAAAAAAGAAAAUAAAAGAUCUGGACGUGAAGAUUUUUAUUUAUAUUUUCUUUUUUUUGUUCCUGAGCACAUAAGGUAUGUAUGUGUGAAGGACAUAUUGAUAAUACGUUGUAUCUUCGCAGGUACGCGUUUAGUUUAGCAUUGCAAUCGUAAGUUUUAUGUAGCGAACGUGUCUAACAAAACUUUACGUGAUUGUAUGGAAAAAGUCUAUGCGCUCGUGUACGCAAAAGUACAAAGGCUUAAAGUAUCAAACAUUGUCACGUUUAUCAAUAUGUGCGUGCUGUCUGUAAUAGAAUGCAGUAAAAGCGUUAAUAGGAUCGAUACAAGUGCACACGCACGAAAUUUCGAUUUAAAAAUUGUUGCUAUAUAAAAAUAGUAUCUAUCAGUGUACAGGGAAAUGAUUUCCAUGCUUGAAUCUUGAUACUUCAUCGAUUUUCGAAGUUAUCUCUAAUCCUGACAACCUUCGGUUUACCUGCACUUCAUAACGUUAUAAGAGAGAGAGAUAUGUUUCCGAAUACAAUGGAAGCCUAAAGCAGAUGGUGACAGGGGAUAUCAUUAAAAAAAUCCUAAAUAUUAUUUUCGCUAAUCGACUUGUAAAUUUGCAAACAACAACUUUUAUCUCAAAAUCAUGAAAAGGACGUAUAGUAAAUUUGGGCACGACAGACUUGUUUUCCAAACGGAUGGCGGGCUUACUCUCUGUGGAAUAAAAAUCUCAGCACGUUACUGAUGGGAAAAUUACAUGAGUUGAUGUUCAAAUUGCUACCCCAUCUAUCGGGUUCUCACGAUCGGCUUGCAAACCUACCAAAGAAUGAUGAUACGGAUGAGAGAAAAGACUUCGAUCGAAUUAUGCAAACUGAAACAUGUUUUGAAGAUCUUAGACAAGUCGUUUUAUAAAAAAAGUUUUCGAAAUGUUGGAGAAAUGUUGGGCUGUUGUUAAUAUCACUCCGUUAAUGCGUACAAUUGAAUUUUGCUAACAAAAAGAAGGUUUUCAUAUCACUGCCUCCCGGGAAUUAUUAAAACUUGUACUUCUUUAUGCAUUUGCGGCAACCAUUUAAAAGCCAUAAAUCACAUUUAUUCCGUAACUGUUUUAAAAAUAAACAUAUACAAGUAAGAAAGUUAUAUUCGAGGGGGGGAGGGGCCCGCAUCACGCAUACCCACCCCUAUGCUUUUCGCAUCCUACUCUCCAAGUUUCUUUAUUUGGUACCCAUAUCGCUAGUAUUAUUAAAAAAAAAUUAAUCGCAUU